UACGGGGGGAGCAAGCGUUGUUCGGAUUUACUGGGCGUAAAGGGCGCGUAGGCGGCGUGACAAGUCACUUGUGAAAUCUCCGGGCUUAACCCGGAGCGGCCAAGUGAUACUGUCGUGCUAGAGUGCGGAAGGGGCUACUGGAAUUCCCGGUGUAGCGGUGAAAUGCGCAGAUAUCGGGAGGAACACCAGUAGCGAAGGCGGCUCGCUGGGCCACACCUGACGCUGAGACGCGAAAGCUAGGGGAGCGAACAGG
rnacentral:rRNA from 1 species